AUAUGCAAUAAAAGUUUUUAAUCUUAUCUACCUAAAAUAUAUACACAGCCAAAACAUGCCCGAUACGCUGUCAUGGCAUAUUGAAAUGUAAAAGUGUUGGACAUAUAGUUUACUAACAUCAAAAAUUAACAUCCCUAAAAAAUCUUAUUCGUUGAUAAAUCAUCUUUUUUGUCAAACUGUGUAAUAGAGAUUUCUGAGUCAAUUGAGCUAAGAUAUACUACAAAAUAAAAGUUUACAAAGAAAUGAGAGAUGAUAGGUAAUAGAAAAGUUUUCUGAAUGAACAGCAAAUAUAGGACAUACAGCGUUUCACGGGAGAAGAGGGUAUGACUGCUUUGUGAGGAAAUACUUCGUGCAAGUUAGUCAGUUUUCUAUUUUUCUGCAUUCUAAUCAAUGAUAAAAUGUUAAUUUUCAGACUUUUUAGAUUUAAUUUCUAAUGUAUUGACUACAGAAGUAGUGAUAGUAAUUGAUAAAAAGAAUAUACAGGCUAAGGAGGAAGAACCACAGAUUCGUGAAUGAAAGAUUUGCAUGUUUUUAAAAUUUAUAGUAGAGAAAUGUUCUCAUGAAUUUACCUGUGAUUAACCUUUUGUAGAUCAGAUGAUCCCAUCAGAAUCCAAACAAAAGGAAGAGGAAGAAAAUUCUUGGGAUUUAGAGAGUGACCGUGAGACUGUUUCACAGAAGGAUGUGUGUUUACCCAGGACUGCACCUCAAAAAGAAUUCCACAUGAUAAGUGGAAAAUUAGAAGAUCAGAUGAUCCCAUCAGAAUCCAAACAAAAGGACAAAGAAGAAAAUUCUUGGGAUUUAGAGAGUGACCGUGAGACUGUUUCACAGAAGGAUGUGUGUUUACCCAAGGCUACACCUCAAAAAGAAUUCCAUACAAUAAGUGAAAAAUUAGAAGAGUCUCCUCAUAAAGAUGGUCUUCUGAAGCCUACUUGUGGAAUGAAAGUUUCUAUUCCAAAUAAAGCCUUAGAAGUGAAGGAUAUACAAACAUUCAAAGCAGUGGAUGUGAGUUCUGUAGAGUCUAUAUUCAGGUAAGACUUUGCUGUUUUUAAAAAAAAAAAAAACAUAUAUAAUGUUAAGUCAGAAAAUACAGAGAAAAGAGACCACUAUCUGUCGAGUAUUCUACUCUGGGCUAGACAACGUAUUAUGUGCUUAAUAUUUAUCAUCUCACGUAGUCAUCACACAGCUUUGGAAAACAUCUGUGCUACUGUCACCUACUUUGUAUUAAUGAGGCAAAUGUGGUUCAGAGAGGUUGAUUAAUUAGCCUAUGAUUUCAUAGCUAAAAAGUAGCUGACCCUUAAGUUUGCCAUCAGCCUACCUUGCUCCCAAAUCCCUUCUCUUCCCUCUCGACAUAGAUUGAUGGAGACCUAUGUAUCACUAGGAUCAAGGUAUAGGUCCAGAUGGGAUCAAUUCACAAAGUCACAUUUUGUUAUACGUUAACUCAUUUUAAAGAUUUCCCUUAGAACACUGGUUAAUCCAAGACUUUGUUCUAACAUGUUUAACAGUUAGAGUGGUAACCAGUACCCUGAUUUAUCAUCAAAGUUUUUAGAGCAGAUCUGACUUAGCUGUGGUGAGAAGACAUAGGUUUUUGUUUCAUAAGCAAGACCAGGUAAAUCCUAUAGAUGAAUUAUUUUACUCUUAUUGGAGAGUAUCUACAUAGAGAUAUGUUAAUCAUAUUUAGAGGCUAUUUCUUAUAGAUUUCUUGGUUUACUGACUUCCCAGCUUAGUUUUUCUUCAAAGCAGUACCCUGCCUAGUUGCAUG
ensembl:lincRNA